GGGCCCGCACAAGCAGCGGAGCGUGUGGUUUAAUUCGAGGCUACACGAAGAACCUUACCUGGGUUUGACAUAUACGUAGUAGGGAACUGAAAAGGGACCGACCUUCGGGAGCGUAUACAGGUGCUGCAUGGCUGUCGUCAGCUCGUGCCGUGAGGUGUUCGGUUAAGUCCGCAAACGAGCGCAACCCCUGGUGCUAGUUACACGUGUCUAGCGCGACUGCCCGUGAGAAACGGGAGGAAGGUGGGGAUGACGUCAAGUCAGCAUGGCCUUUAUAUCCAGGGCUACACACACGCUACAAUGGGCGGUACAAUGGGUCGCGAAGCCGCGAGGUGGAGCCAAUCCUGAAAGCCGUUCGUAGUUCGGAUUGCAGGCUGCAACCCGCCUGCAUGAAGUCGGAGUUGCUAGUAACCGCAGGUCAGCUAUACUGCGGUGAAUACGUUCCCGGGCCUU
rnacentral:rRNA from 1 species